rnacentral:rRNA from 1 species
GUUUGAUCAUGGCUCAGGAUGAACGCUAGCUACAGGCUUAACACAUGCAAGUCGAGGGGCAGCAUGAACUUAGCUUGCUAAGUUUGAUGGCGACCGGCGCACGGGUGAGUAACACGUAUCCAACCUGCCGAUGACUCGGGGAUAGCCUUUCGAAAGAAAGAUUAAUACCCGAUGGCAUAGUUCUUCCGCAUGGUAGAACUAUUAAAGAACUUCGGUCAUCGAUGGGGAUGCGUUCCAUUAGGUUGUUGGCGGGGUAACGGCCCACCAAGCCUUCGAUGGAUAGGGGUUCUGAGAGGAAGGCCCCCCACAUUGGAACUGAGACACGGUCCAAACUCCUACGGGAGGCAGCAGUGAGGAAUAUUGGUCAAUGGACGAGAGUCUGAACCAGCCAAGUAGCGUGAAGGAUGACUGCCCUAUGGGUUGUAAACUUCUUUUAUACGGGAAUAAAGUGAGGCACGUGUGCCUUUUUGUAUGUACCGUAUGAAUAAGGAUCGGCUAACUCCGUGCCAGCAGCCGCGGUAAUACGGAGGAUCCGAGCGUUAUCCGGAUUUAUUGGGUUUAAAGGGAGCGUAGGCGGACGCUUAAGUCAGUUGUGAAAGUUUGCGGCUCAACCGUAAAAUUGCAGUUGAUACU